UUUAUGGAGAGUUUGAUCCUGGCUCAGGAUGAACGCUGGCGGCGUGCCUAAUACAUGCAAGUCGAGCGAACAGACAAGGAGCUUGCUCCUUUGACGUUAGCGGCGGACGGGUGAGUAACACGUGGGUAACCUACCUAUAAGACUGGGAUAACUUCGGGAAACCGGAGCUAAUACCGGAUAAU
rnacentral:rRNA from 1 species